GAGUUUGAUCCUGGCUCAGGACGAACGCUGGCGGCGCGCCUAACACAUGCAAGUCGAACGAGAGAGAGGGAGCUUGCUUCCUUGAUCGAGUGGCGAACGGGUGAGUAACGCGUGAGUAACCUGCCCUAGAGUGGGGGACAACAGUUGGAAACGACUGCUAAUACCGCAUAAGCCCACGGUGCCGCAUGACACUGAGGAAAAAGGAUUUAUUCGCUUCAGGAUGGACUCGCGUCCAAUUAGCUAGUUGGUGAGGUAACGGCCCACCAAGGCGACGAUUGGUAGCCGGACUGAGAGGUUGAACGGCCACAUUGGGACUGAGACACGGCCCAGACUCCUACGGGAGGCAGCAGUGGGGGAUAUUGCACAAUGGGGGAAACCCUGAUGCAGCGACGCCGCGUGGAGGAAGAAGGUUUUCGGAUUGUAAACUCCUGUCGUUAGGGACGAUAAUGACGGUACCUAACAAGAAAGCACCGGCUAACUACGUGCCAGCCGCCGCGGUAAUAC
rnacentral:rRNA from 1 species